rnacentral:lncRNA from 1 species
AAAAAGGCAACGCACACAACAUAACCAGCUAAGCAAUUGACAAACGUAAACCAUCUAAACAGCAGUCACCAUGGAAAAGCAAUAUAGUGACAGGAACUAAUCUUACUAACGAAAAAUGUUAAUCAGUAAACAAGCGAAACUGAAUCCAAAUGGAUAGAAGAACAACCUCAUUAAGCUUAGAACCUGGAUAGGCACGAAACAAGAAAUAUAAUCUGAUAAAAAAGAACUGUAAAUUAGAAACAGAAUGAACUCCUCUUCUAGGUUAUAGCAACAAGGAGUAUAUCAAUGGUGACAGCAAGAGUCCAAAAAAUGCAACAGAACCAGUGAAGGCUGAGCAGCAGGUGCAAAAUAAGCUGGAGGAGAGGAAUAGGAAUAUAAGACCAGACGUUUACAUGAAGAACGACUAAAAAGCAACUCUCCACCUCCAUUCAUGAAAAGCUGGGCCGAGAAGCUUCAUGAAAAGCCACAAAGAGUGCCUGUGCGUUUCAAAUCCGAGGAACCAUUAAGACGCCUGAGGCCAGCAUAGCGAACGAAUGUAUAGCCGCCCUGUCUACUCGAAUAUAUAUAUUUAUUGUUGGGCAGUGUUAGUAAUUAAGUCAAAAUUCAAUGUUCCUAUUGGACACUCAUAUCUAUCUAUUUAACUAAUAAUUUAUAACUAAUAAAUCCCAAAGCAGGGGUAAUUCAAGCUGAAAUUUGCUCAAAUAGGAAGCAAGUACCGAUAAGUGAUUCAGGCUCUAGCAUCCUGUUAUCUGCUUUUAAUAAGAAGCUAAUCAUCACCACCUCCAUUUUAACAGCUCGAUAAAAAGCACGCUGCCUUUCUUAUAAGGUUGCUGGCAAAGACGCUAUAAUUACUGUUGGGUUCCAAGGACAAAAGAUGUUUGAUGGUGGAGGACCACUUUCACAACAAAGAAAGACGUUGGGUUCCAAGAAAGAAAGAACAAACAAAUACAACAAAAAAAAAAGGAAAAAAAUUUCCAGCUCGGGCCACUUUCAAAACCCGCACGUGAGCAAGACAUGGAGGACGACCAUGCUUUGGCACCCUCUUCCCAGUUUAUAUACAUUCUUUAAAUAAUGAAGCCUUAAUGGCUGGAAAAGUAAGAAAUUUAGGGGAAGUGCUGCCCGAUUUUCUAGGCCGUUUGGUUCUUUUAAGUUGGAUUUGCCUUUUGGUAGAAAUGAAAGGGCUUUUGGGUUGUUUGCGCCUAGGUCUUCAUGCUACCUUUUCGUUUCCAAGGGAAUCGUGUUUUUGCAUUCUUGCACUAGUAUUUAUUUGGCAAGGCGUACGACGUGUAAUCGAGCCUCACAUGUGCAUUCUGUUUACUAGAUUCUGGAAGUAAAACCUUCAAUUGGUUUAUUUUGGUUAUUUUAGGGUUUCUUGGCGAUUAAGGCCAAUCUGAAGUGAAAACUUUUGAAGUUGAGCCGGUGAGUGUACCACUCCCCUCCAUUGCUAUUUAACUUGAUUUCUGCUCUGCAAUCUGUUUAUUUGUUCGAGACGAGGGUGUACUUUAUCACACUCGUUCUCUUGUCUGUUCAUAUGCCAAUUUACUAUGCAAAAUUUGAAUCUGUUAUCUGUGUCUGCAUCUGUUCGGGUUUCUAUUACCUAUGAGCUCAAUCCUGUGGCUAAGUUAUUUGAGUCGGGCCGGCAAGGGCCUGGACGAUUAGAUAACGAACCACGGUAGUCUGUUCGGGGAUUUUGGGUAUUGAGACCCUUGAUUCCGGGUAUACUCGAGUAUUACCAUUUUGUUCGUUUGAGGUGAGCGGGCCCGGUAAAGGGGUGUUUGGUGGACGGAAUUCGGUGAUAAGAGGGGUCUACGGACGCAUUGGUUCUAUAUACGUUGACGGAGAGUCAACCGGUUUGGAUCAAGUAUGUAGCUGGAAAUUUGGCUCCUGAGAGCCACCCGUAUCCUUCUGAUUUGAAUCAUUGGUUCCUUUGCUUUACAUCUGACAUGUGUAUCUGAUUUGUUAAAUGUGAAAUGCCAUGAUUUUAAUGCUAUCUGUUUGGUACCUCAUUGAGCGCAAGCUCACCCCUUUCCGUUCCUUUUGUUUUCCUUACAGGAAAAUAAACCCUUUUGGUCUGGAUUUGACAAAUGUCUGCCAAAUUGAGCUAGUUGAACAUAUCUUUUGUAUAGCUCAUGUAUUAAAACCCUAAGUGUACUUUUGGGGCGUUUUCUCUUUUGAUUUGGCAAACCGUGUGUAUAUAUUAACUUUUGAAAACUUUUGUAUGUCAUUUUGAUUUGUAAACGCUAAAGUUCAGAUGUGAAUGUUUGUUGGCUUUUUCGGUUGGGUUCUGACGGGUCGGUCACUAUUCAUGGCCGACUUCGGAUUUCAUGUUUUUUUAAAUUUUGGGUUAUUUUACCAUUUUGACUCGUUUACGCUCGUUCGUAAGUUCCGGAUCGCUAUAGAUAGUUCUAGUCUGCAUCGUGAGUCCUGGCGAGAGCUGGGCAGGCAGUCCGCUCACCCCUUUGGUUCGCCUUAGGGGAAAGUGGGGCUGUUACAAUUGGUAUCAGAGCCACUUCGCGUGGUCUCUGCGCGGAGUGAGACUGGGCCAAGUGGUGUUGUGGUCCUAAUUUCAUGAAUUUGUCUAAGUGCUCGUUUGAGCGUAAGUUAUGAACCGGGGAUGUGAUAAGUGUACGAAUCAUUAUCAUGGGACUCGAGGAAGCUAGGUAUGUAUGUCGGGUAGGAAUCUUUAAUAAGGAUGGUUUACUCUUGGGACCGGCCGGCUCGAGUUGUGAAUUAUCUUAGAUGGGAUUCUUGCGCCCGGAUACGAAAGAUAUGAGGGCCUAGGUUAGAAAGGAUUUGGUGAACUAGAAAGGCCAUUCCUCGGUGGAUCGUCUAUGUUUGUACUUGACUUAACUGGCUGUAUAUAUGAUAAGGAAUUUCGAGGACGAAAUUCUUUUAAGGGGGAGAGAGUGUGAGAACCCGUAACUUUUCCAUUUGUUAGGUUUUAUAAUCUUUCUAGGCUUUCUUAUUUUCAAUGGCUUGUUUUCUACACUUUCUGUAUCCGGAAAAUUUUUUAGAUUAUUUUACGAGUAAAUAUAGUUUUUAGAUGUUUUUCUAGCAUUGGUGAAUUUUAGAAAAUUAAGAUUAUCUAUUGGAUGUGGGACCCACUAGUGCGAAAAGUUCGGAAAAAUUCGGCCAAUAAGGUUAAGUUUCGGAUACUGUGAAAAAUUUAUCGGGUGUUAAGAGAUAAGUAGAGAGUGAGAUUUGAUUGAUGAGAGAGAGAAAAGAAAGGAUAGGAAUGCAUUUAUGAUAGUGACAAGUGUCACAAGAUCAUUGGAGUUGACUUAAGAAAUACUAUUCACAUUUUUGACUUUUUUGACCAAAGGAUUAUAUAUCUCAAAAAAAUCACAAAAUUCACCAUUUUUCUUCUCAUUGUGGCCGAACCUCUCACUUGCAAGAAGGAAGAAAAUUCUUCAACAUUUCAAGCUUCCAACUUGUCCAAAUCCACCAAAUCAAGUGUUUAACUUCGUUUUUACUCCAUACAAUCUUUCCUUCUAGUGAUAGUAAGGGUAUUAGUGAAGUUUGUUUGAAGCUCUAAGGUGGCCAACACCUCUCUACAUCUCUUGAUACUUGGUAAGUGAUGCUUGAACCUCUACUACACCUAAUGAUGGUUAUAGUAUGCUUAGAAGUGGCUUGAGUGUUGGAAUAUAUGAUUUAUUUCUUGGUUUGGCUUGAUUUAGUGAAAUUUUCCAUUUUAUGAUGAAUUUUCUGGUUUCAUAUGAUUUUGAUGGUAUGGUUGUUUUUGAUGGUUGGUAAUAAGGGGCUUUGACUCUAGUGGGUGUGAAUUGUUGAUAAAUGCAACCAAUUUUGGAUUUGAAGUGAAUUGUGAAAAGUUAGGGUUCAUGAACCCCUAUUCUGUCCGAAAUUUUAGGUCAUAGCUAGCGGCCGAAUUGGACUUUGCUCAAAACAUGAAAGUUGUAGGUAUUGGUGAGUAUGAAGUGCCUGCAAAAUUUCAGGGCAUUUGGAGUAGUAUAGAGAGAGUUAUGCCGUUUUUACUGUUGCUGUUUUUGGUGAACAGAAUGUGCGGAACUGCGAUAGUAAUUGCCUAUUUUGACUGGAUUUGGUUUGGAUUUUGAAGUUGGUGUCUUCUGAUGAAAUGUUACUGGAUGUCUUAGCUAUCAUAUGCCUUUGGAAUUUUGGCAUUUGGACUUGUAUAGACUGAGUUAUAGUAAUUACAGUUUUGUGUGAUUUGCAAACCUGUUUUGGGAAUUCUGGUAUAGUAUUUUGCAUAUUUGACCUAGUUGUGUUAGGAACUGGAUUGAGUUACCUUCUACAUUGUUGUAGCUCUGUUUCUUGGCUUCGAAACGGUGGAUCUUACACCCCCAUCCGAUAAUCGUAGUGAAUUUGACGCCAUUACCGCAAAAUAAGGGCAAAACAGUUUUCUAUUUGGGGCCAAGACUAAUGCUAUUUCUAAUUUCUGGUUUGCUAUUAUGCUUAUUUAUGCAUAUGAGACCCUAUUGGGGUUGUGUUCAGCAUUGUUUUAUGACUCGUCGUCGAGUCUCUCUUAGGGCUUGCUUUCAUUUUGGUUGUUUCCUAGCUAACUUUUGUACUUGUACCACUUUGAGCCCUGUACGGCUUUUGGGAAAUGAGAUGACCUUUGGUGUGAAAUGUUGGGGCUGAUUUGAGGAAAUAAUGAAGCCUUAAUGGCUGGAAAAGUAAGAAAUUUAGGGGAAGUGAUGCCCGAUUUUCUAGGCCGUUUGGUUCUUUUAAGUUGGAUUUGCCUUUUGGUAGAAAUGAAAGGGCUUUUGGGUUGUUUGCGCCUAGGUCUUCAUGCUACCUUUUCGUUUCCAAGGGAAUCGUGUUUUUGCAUUCUUGCACUAGUAUUUAUUUGGCAAGGCGUACGACGUGUAGUCGAGCCUCACAUGUGCAUUCUGUUUACUCGAUUCUGGAAGUAAAACCUUCAAUUGGUUUAUUUUGGUUAUUUUAGGGUUUCUUGGCGAUUAAGGCCAAUCUGAAGUGAAAACUUUUGAAGUUGAGCCGGUGAGUGUACCACUCCCCUCCAUUGCUAUUUAACUUGAUUUCU